rnacentral:rRNA from 1 species
GACGAACGCUGGCGGCGUGCUUAACACAUGCAAGUCGAACGGUAAGGCCCUUCGGGGUACACGAGUGGCGAACGGGUGAGUAACACGUGGGUGAUCUGCCCUGCACUUCGGGAUAAGCUUGGGAAACUGGGUCUAAUACCGGAUAGGACCCUGGGAUGCAUGUCCUGGGGUGGAAAGCUUUUGCGGUGUGGGAUGGGCCCGCGGCCUAUCAGCUUGUUGGUGGGGUGAUGGCCUACCAAGGCGACGACGGGUAGCCGGCCUGAGAGGGUGACCGGGCACACUGGGACUGAGAUACGGCCCAGACUCCGACGGGAGGCAGCGGUGGGGAAUAUUGCUCAAUGGGCGCAAGCCUGAUGCAGCGACGCCGCGUGAGGGAUGACGGCCUUCGGGUUGUAAACCUCUUUCAGCACCGACGAAGCGCAAGUGACGGUAGGUGCAGAAGAAGGACCGGCCAACUACGUGCCAGCCGCCGCGGUAA